GAAUGAAACUGAUGGCGCUGUGUUACUGUCGUCGGAAUUCAAGUUGGACUUGGAAAGUUCUUGACCGUGUAGUAUUUUGCGCGGCAGAGCUGGAAGUUCGGCUGCACUUUUCGGCGGCCCUCGUAGCACCCUGUUUUAGCAAGAGAUGGUCGUGCGUGAAGCGGCCUGGCUGAUCUAGGUCGGCCGGGUCCCCGUGCGGUUCAUUUCCACGCCUGGACUUGAAAAAGCUGCCGGCAUAGCGCAUAAAUUGGCGUUCAGGCUGGACGAUCGAAAGGUCGAAAGGCCUUGGGCGCUGAUGGUUGCGAGGGUAGCAGUGCUGCGAUUACAACAGUUACCCAUCAGACCCGUCUUGAAACACGGACCAAGGAGUCUAGCAUGUGCGCGAGUCAAAGGGUGGAAAACCUCAAGGCGCAAUGAAAGUAAAAUCAGCUGAGAUUCUUCGCUCGUCGGAGACGCAUCAGCCUACCGUUGUAUGUGCUUGUCACUUCAGCGGAUAGUGAGCGUACACGCUAGGACCCGAAAGAUGGUGAACUAUGCCUGAACUGGAUGAAGCCAGAGGAAASUCUGGUGGAGGUCCGCAGCGGUUCUGACGUGCAAAU
rnacentral:rRNA from 1 species